rnacentral:rRNA from 1 species
AUGCAAAGAACUUUGAAAAGAGAGUUAWAGAGUACCCGAAAUUGUUGAAAGGGAAGAGAAGGAAACCAGUGCCUGUCGUGUCAUCACCCGACUCAUCUCCACACUUCGUGGUCGACUGAUAUGUGAUGACACAUAGAUCAACAUCAACCUUGUGCCAGGAUAAACGAUCGUUUGCCGGUAGACAGCUCUCCUCUCGGGGUGCCAGUGCCAGCUUGGUCUGUUCUGGCCGAAGUUGAGGCCAAUCAUUAUGUGCUCGUGAUGUUGAUGAAAUGGUUUUCUUUACCCCGUCUUGAAACACGGACCAAGGAGUCUAACAUUUGUGCGAGUAAAAGGGUGGUAAACCUUGAUGCGUAAUGAAAGUAACAGUGGUUAGAAGUCGUGAAAGACCUGCAUAAUCCGCCGGCUUCAAUCCUGCGGGAGAAAGGUCUGAGUGUGAGCACAGCUGUUGGGACCCGAAAGAUGGUGAACUAUGCUUGAGUAGAGUGAAGCAAUGGGAAACUUUUGUGGAAGCUCGUAGAGAUUCUGACGUGCAAAUCGAUCUUCAAACUUGAGUAUAGGGGCGAAAGACUAAUCGAACCAUCUAGUAGCUGGUUCCCUUCGAAAUUUCCCUCAGGAUAGCUGUGAUCGAAUGCAUUUUUAUCA